UACGGAGGGUGCGAGCGUUAAUCGGAAUUACUGGGCGUAAAGCGCGCGUAGGUGGCUUGAUAAGCCGGUUGUGAAAGCCCCGGGCUCAACCUGGGAACGGCAUCCGGAACUGCCAAGCUAGAGUGCAGGAGAGGAAGGUAGAAUUCCCGGUGUAGCGGUGAAAUGCGUAGAGAUCGGGAGGAAUACCAGUGGCGAAGGCGGCCUUCUGGACUGACACUGACACUGAGGUGCGAAAGCGUGGGUAGCAAAUAGG
rnacentral:rRNA from 1 species